rnacentral:rRNA from 1 species
AUGGCGACCCGGCGUGGAGUGGCGGGCGGCGGCGGCGUUGUGGGCGCCGUGGCGAGCGUCCUCGUGCUGUGGCUGGCGGCUGGAGCCGCUGCCGGCCUGGUCGCCGCCGACCCUGGCGCGGAGCAGCGGGCGCGGGACCGGGUGGAGGCGCUGCCGGGGCAGCCGGCGGUGGCGUUCGCGCAGUACUCCGGGUACGUGACGGUGAGCGAGCGGCACGGGCGCGCGCUCUUCUACUGGCUCACCGAGGCCGCCGGCGGCGACCAGGCCAGCAAGCCCCUCGUCCUCUGGCUUAACGGCGGACCUGGGUGCUCCUCUGUGGCUUACGGCGCGUCCGAGGAGAUCGGCCCGUUCCGGAUCAAGCCCAACGGGACGGGGCUCUACCUCAACAAGUACUCAUGGAACAGAGAGGCGAACCUUCUCUUCCUCGAGUCCCCGGCCGGCGUCGGCUUCUCCUACUCCAACACCUCCUCCGAUCUCAAGACCUCCGGCGACGAGAGGACCGCGCAAGACUCGCUGCAGUUCUUGAUCAGCUGGAUGUCGCGGUUCCCGCAGUACCGGCACCGGGAUUUCUACAUCGCCGGAGAAAGCUACGCCGGCCACUACGUGCCCCAGUUGGCGAGGAAGAUCGUCGAGUACAACAAGGCUUCGCCGAGCCCCUUCAUCAACCUAAAGGGAAUCCUUGUGGGGAACGCGGUGACCGACAACUACUACGACAACAUCGGCACGGUGACCUACUGGUGGACGCACGCCAUGAUCUCCGACAGCACCUACCGGGCCAUCCUCAAGCUCUGCAACUUCACCAGCGCCAACGUCUCGAACGCCUGCAACCGCGCCAUGAGCUACGCCAUGAACCACGAGUUCGGGGACAUCGACCAGUACAGCAUCUACACGCCCUCCUGCCACGCCACCUCCGACUCGUCUGCGGCAUCCGGCAACUCCACUGCACCCCGCAGGCACCGCCGUGCCGUGCUCAGGUUCAAGGACACCCUCAUCCGCCGGAGGUCCAACAGCUACGACCCCUGCACCGAGACCUACGCCGAGAAGUACUACAACCGGCUCGACGUGCAGAGGGCCAUGCACGCCAACACCACCAGGAUCCCCUACAGAUGGACAGCCUGCAGUGAUGUGCUCAUCAAGACAUGGAACGACUCCGAGUUGUCGAUGCUGCCGACCUACAGGAUGCUGAUCAAGGCUGGGAUCAGGAUAUGGGUGUUCAGCGGCGACACGGAUUCGGUUGUCCCGGUGACAGCGACGAGGUUUUCGCUCAGCCACCUUGGUCUCAAGACUAAGAUCCGCUGGUACCCAUGGUACUCAGCCGGUCAGGUAGGAGGGUGGUCUGAGGUGUAUGAAGGACUGACAUUUGCGUCGGUGAGAGGCGCAGGGCAUGAGGUACCAUUGUUCCAGCCAAGGAGGGCCUUCAGGAUGUUCGUAUCAUUCCUGGCUGGGAAGCCAUUGCCCAAAUCCUGA